GUUGCUGCUGCUGCCACAGAGGAAGCAAAGAAGAGCAACAAAGUCCAGAGGAAGCUUGAGAAGCGUCAGCAGGGGCGCACUCUGGACUCACACAUUGAGGAGCAGUUCAGCGGUGGAAGGUUGCUGGCUUGCAUUUCGUCUCGCCCUGGGCAGUGUGGGAGAGCUGAUGGGUAAGCUACACAUCAGAUUUCACCAUUUGUAUAUUAAAUUCUGAAGAACUGAUGAGUCCUUCCUAGAGUUUGUAUGUUAGCUUUCUUGUUAGCUAUGGUAUUAAUACUUUCUGUCUUGAAACUACAGGUACAUCCUUGAGGGCAAGGAGCUGGAGUUCUACAUGAGGAAGCUCCAGAAGAAGAAGGGCAAGGGUGCCACAGCAUAGGCGCUGAAGAGCUGCAUGUUACUCGUUGGGUUUUCUUAGUUGUUGCGUCAAUGUCUGUUUACAGACAUACUGAACACCAUUUUCUGU
rnacentral:lncRNA from 1 species